UGAGGAAUUUUGCGCAAUGGGGGAAACCCUGACGCAGCAACGCCGCGUGAGUGAUGAAGGCUUUCGGGUCGUAAAGCUCUGUCAAGUGGGAAGAAACUGGAAGAUGCUAAUAUCAUCUUUCACUGACGGUACCACUGAAGGAAGCACCGGCUAACUCCGUGCCAGCAGCCGCGGUAAUACGGGGGGUGCAAGCGUUAUUCGGAAUCAUUGGGCGUAAAGGGCGCGUAGGCGGUCUCUUAAGUCAGGUGUGAAAGCCCGGGGCUCAACCCCGGAAGUGCACUUGAAACUAAGGGACUUGAGUAUGGGAGAGGGAAGUGGAAUUCCUGGUGUAGCGGUGAAAUGCGUAGAUAUCAGGAGGAACACCGGUGGCGAAGGCGACUUCCUGGACCAAUACUGACGCUGAGGCGCGAAGGCGUGGGGAGCAAACA
rnacentral:rRNA from 1 species